rnacentral:rRNA from 1 species
AUUGAACGCUGGCGGCAGGCCUAACACAUGCAAGUCGAGCGGAUGAAGGGAGCUUGCUCCUGGAUUCAGCGGCGGACGGGUGAGUAAUGCCUAGGAAUCUGCCUGGUAGUGGGGGAUAACGUCCGGAAACGGGCGCUAAUACCGCAUACGUCCUGAGGGAGAAAGUGGGGGAUCUUCGGACCUCACGCUAUCAGAUGAGCCUAGGUCGGAUUAGCUAGUUGGUGGGGUAAAGGCCUACCAGGGCAACGAUCCGUAACUGGUCUGAGAGGAUGAUCAGUCACACUGGAACUGACACACGGCCAAGACUCCUAGGGGGGGCAGGGGGGGGAAAUUUGGAAAAAGGGGGGAAAGCUUGACCCGACCAGGCCGGGUGUGUAAAGAGGGUUUUCGGAUUGUAAAUGACUUUAUGUGGGAAGAAAAGGCAUUAUGUAAAACCGGGGGUUUUUUGACGUAACGAAAAGAUAAAGACCCGGUGAACAGCUU